AGCAGCCAGGCACAUCUGAUGGCACCUGGCGAGCAAGGGGGCACACUGCCCCCACUGUCUCACAUCCAGAUCCCUCAGUCCAGAAUCCACCCGAGCACUAGGCAUGUAGUAAGUUACGCCAUUUUUUUCUUUUUCUUUACUGUCCCCCAUUCUUUUGUAAAUUUGUGCCCCUUCCUGUUUCCACAGACUGCGCCUUUGGCAGCAAUAGCCAGCAGCAGCCUGCUAUAUCAGAAGGCACCUAACGAGCAAGGGGGUACAGACUCCCUGGUACAUCUGAAGGCACCUGGCGAGGAAGGGGGCACACUGCCCCCACGGUCUCCCAUCCAGAUCCCUCAAUCUAGGAUCCACCCAGACCCCUUGGCAGGUAGAAAAUUCUUCCAUAGUUUUUCUUCUUCAUUUCUGUCCCCCAUUUUUUGUAAAUUUCUGCCUCUUCCUCUCCCCACAGACUGCACCUUUGGCUGCAGUAGCCAACAGUGGCCUGGUACAUCUGAAGGCACCUCACUAGCCAGGGGGUACACAGGUCCAAUAACUCCUAUCCAGAUUCCCCAGUCCUGGAUUCAUCCAGAGCCAUAGGCGGGUAGAAUGUUCCUACAUAUUUUUUUCUUCUUCUUUACUAUCUCCCAUUAUUUUGUAAAUUUCUGCCCCUUCCCCUAUCCACAGACUGCACCUUUGGCUGCAGUAGCCAGCAGCAGGCUUGUACAUCUGAAAGCACCUGGUGAGCAAGGGGCACACUGCCCCCACAAACUCCCAUGCACAUCCCCCAGUCCAGGAUACACCCAGACACCCAGGUAGAAAUUUCAUCCAUUUUUUUAAUCUUCUUUACUGUCCCCUAAUUUUUUUUCUAAAUUCCUUCUUCUCAGUCUCUCCACAGACUGCACCUUUGGCAGUAGCAGCCUGGUACUUCUGAAGGCACCUCACCAGCAAGGGGGCACACAGCCCCCACUGAUUCCCAUCCAGAUCACCCAGUCCAGGAUCCAACCAUAACCUUAGGCAGAUUGAAAGUUCCUCCAUUUUUUGUUCUCUUUUUUACUGAUCCCAUUCUUUUGUAAAUUCCUUCCUCUCCAUCUUUCAACAGACUGCACCUUUGUCUGCAGCAGCCUGGAACAUCUGAAGGCACCUGGGGAGCAAGGGGGCACACUGCCACCACUAAUUCUCAUCCAGACUCCCAAUUCCAGGAUCCACCCAGACCACUAGGCAGACUGCUCCUUUGGCUACAGUAGACAGCAGCAGCCUGAUACAUCUGAAGUCACCUGUCUCUCCACAGACUGCACCUUUGGCUACAGCAGUUUGGUACUUCUGAAGGCACAUCACGAGCAAGAGGGCACACCUUCCCCACUGAUUCCCAUCCAGACCUCCCAGUCCAGGAUCCUCCCAUAACCUUAGGCAGAGGGCGCCUUUGUCUGCAGCAGCCUGGAACAUCUGAAGGCACCUGGGGAGCAAGGGGGCACACUGGCCCCACUGAUUCCCAUCCAAAUCUUUCAGUCCAGGAUCCACCCAGACCCCUAGACAGACUCAGCCUUUGGCUGCAGCAGCUGGCAGCGGCCUGGUACCUCUGAAGGCACCUUACUAGCAAGGGGGUACACUGGCCCAAGGACUCCCAUCCAGAUUUCCCAGUCCCACAUCCACCCAGAGCCCUAGGCAGGUAGA